AUUUGUGUGAUGAGCACAGAUAUUUGUUCCUGAGUCAUGGUUGUUUUCUAUGUAUUUAAGCUUUUUUAUUUUAUUUUAUAUUAUAUAUAUCGUUGUCUGAGUACCCACAACACAAGCUUUCUUGAGCUUACCGUGGGGCUUAGUCAAUUUGUGUAAUAAUGACCUAUAA